UUAGCCUCCAACUAAUAAAAAAAUUAAAAAAAAAAAAAAAAGAAGAAGAAGCUAACACAGGAGGGUAAAGAAAGUCUCCAUAAAACCCAGAGAAGAGAUUUUUAGAACUCCUCUCUGGAUCCUGUCUGGAGUCACAACU
rnacentral:snoRNA from 1 species